UACGGGGGGAGCAAGCGUUGUUCGGAUUUACUGGGCGUAAAGGGCGCGUAGGCGGCAAAUUAAGUCAGCUGUGAAAUCUCCGAGCUUAACUCGGAACGGUCAGCUGAUACUGAUCUGCUAGAGUGCGGAAGGGGCAAUCGGAAUUCUUGGUGUAGCGGUGAAAUGCGUAGAUAUCAAGAGGAACACCUGAGGUGAAGACGGGUUGCUGGGCCGACACUGACGCUGAGUGCGCGAAAGCGUGGGGAGCAAACAGG
rnacentral:rRNA from 1 species